UCCUGGCUUAGGACGAACGCUGGCGGCGUGCCUAACACAUGCAAGUCGAACGAGAAUCUACUAUGAAAUUUCGGAUGGAUUAGGUAGAGGAAAGUGGCGAACGGGUGAGUAACGCGUGAGCAAUCUGCCUUGUACUGGGGGAUAACGUCGGGAAACCGGCGCUAAUACCGCAUAAUACUAUGAGAUCGCAUGGUCAUAUAGUCAAAACUCCGGUGGUACAAGAUGAGCUCGCGUCCAAUUAGCUAGUUGGUGGGGUAAUGGCCCACCAAGGCGACGAUUGGUAGCCGAACUGAGAGGUUGAUCGGCCACAUUGGGACUGAGACACGGCCCAGACUCCUACGGGAGGCAGCAGUGGGGAAUAUUGCGCAAUGGAGGGAAACCUCUGACGCAGCAACGCCGCGUGAAGGAUGAAGGUUUUCGGAUUGUAAACUUCUUUGAUCGGGGACGAAAUUGACGGUACCCGAGGAACAAGCCACGGCUAACUACGUGCCAGCAGCUGC
rnacentral:rRNA from 1 species